rnacentral:rRNA from 1 species
GCCCCUACGGGAGGCAGCAGUGAGGAAUAUUGGUCAAUGGCCGGAAGGCUGAACCAGCCAAGCCGCGUGAGGGAGGAAGGCGCAGAGCGUCGCAGACCUCUUUUGCCGGGGGACAAAAGGCCGGACUCGUCCGGUCCUGAGGGUACCCGAAGAAAAAGCAUCGGCUAACUCCGUGCCAGCAGCCGCGGUAAUACGGAGGAUGCGAGCGUUAUCCGGAUUUAUUGGGUUUAAAGGGUGCGUAGGCGGUCCGUUAAGUCAGCGGUAAAAUUGCGGGGCUCAACCCCGUCGAGCCGUUGAAACUGGCG